UACAGAGGGCGCGAGCGUUGUUCGGAUUUACUGGGCGUAAAGGGCGCGUAGGCGGCAAUUCAAGUCAUCUGUGAAAUCUCCGGGCUUAACUCGGAAUGGUCAGGUGAUACUGCUUUGCUAGAGUGCAGAAGGGGCAAUCGGAAUUCUUGGUGUAGCGGUGAAAUGCGUAGAUAUCAAGAGGAAUACCUGAGGUGAAGACGGGUUGCUGGGCUAACACUGACGCUGAGGCGCGAAAGCUAGGGGAGCAAACGGG
rnacentral:rRNA from 1 species